AUACGUAGGUGGCAAGCGUUGUCCGGAAUUACUGGGUGUAAAGGGAGCGCAGGCGGGGAUGCAAGGUGGAUGUUAAAUCCCACAGCUCAACUGCGGCACUGCCUUUGAUACUGCUUUUCUGGAGUUCGGAUGCCGUGGGAGGAAUGGGCAGUGUAGCGGUGAAAUGCAUAGAUAUUGCCCAGAACACCGAUUGCGAAGGCAUCUCACGAAUCCGAGACUGACGCUGAGGCACGAAAGCGUGGGGAUCAAACAGGAUUAGAUACCCUGGUAGUCCACGCAGUAAACGAUGAUAACUAAUCGUCGGCGAUAGAAUGUCGGUGGCCAAGCGAAAGCGAUAAGUUAUCCACCUGGGGAGUACGUUCGCAAGAAUGAAACUCAAAGGAAUUGACGGGG
rnacentral:rRNA from 1 species